rnacentral:rRNA from 1 species
AUUGAACGCUGGCGGCAGGCCUAACACAUGCAAGUCGAACGGUAACAGGAAACAGCUUGCUGUUUCGCUGACGAGUGGCGGACGGGUGAGUAAUGUCUGGGAAACUGCCUGAUGGAGGGGGAUAACUACUGGAAACGGUAGCUAAUACCGCAUAAUGUCGCAAGACCAAAGAGGGGGACCUUCGGGCCUCUUGCCAUCGGAUGUGCCCAGAUGGGAUUAGCUAGUAGGUGGGGUAAUGGCUCACCUAGGCGACGAUCCCUAGCUGGUCUGAGAGGAUGACCAGCCACACUGGAACUGAGACACGGUCCAGACUCCUACGGGAGGCAGCAGUGGGGAAUAUUGCACAAUGGGCGCAAGCCUGAUGCAGCCAUGCCGCGUGUAUGAAGAAGGCCUUCGGGUUGUAAAGUACUUUCAGCGAGGAGGAAGGCAUUGUGGUUAAUAACCGCAGUGAUUGACGUUACUCGCAGAAGAAGCACCGGCUAACUCCGUGCCAGCAGCCGCCGUAA